ensembl:misc_RNA Y_RNA Y RNA
GGCUGGUCUGAUGUGGGUUAUCAGAGCAAAUUAACAUUAGUGUCACCGAAGUCAGUAUACAACCCCAUCACUAAUAAAUUUGAUUGGUUUAAA